ACUCCUACGGGAGGCAGCAGUGGGGAAUAUUGCACAAUGGGCGCAAGCCUGAUGCGGCCAUGCCGCGUGUGUGAAGAAGGCCUUCGGGUUGUAAAGCACUUUCAGUCGUGAGGAAGGUAGUGUAGUUAAUAGCUGCAUUAUUUGACGUUAGCGACAGAAGAAGCACCGGCUAACUCCGUGCCAGCAGCCGCGGUAAUACGGAGGGUGCGAGCGUUAAUCGGAAUUACUGGGCGUAAAGCGCAUGCAGGUGGUUUGUUAAGUCAGAUGUGAAAGCCCGGGGCUCAACCUCGGAAUUGCAUUUGAAACUGGCAGACUAGAGUACUGUAGAGGGGGUAGAAUUUCAGGUGUAGCGGUGAAAUGCGUAGAGAUCUGAAGGAAUACCGGUGGCGAAGGCGGCCCCUGGACAGAUACUGACACUCAGAUGCGAAAGCGUGGGAGCAAACAGGAUUAGAUACCCCGUGGUAGCGACUGA
rnacentral:rRNA from 1 species